rnacentral:rRNA from 1 species
GAGAUGUGGGUAGUCCGCACGAGCGCACCUCACUUUUAGUUGCCAUCAUUAAGUUGGGCACUCUGAAAGAACUGCCAGUGAUAAGCUGGAGGAAGGUGGGGAUGACGUCAAGUCCUCAUGGCCCUUACGUGUUGGGCUACACACGUGCUACAAUGGCAUCUACAACAGGAAGCAAAACGGCAACGUUAAGCAAAUCCCGAAAAGAUGCCUCAGUUCGGAUUGCACUCUGCAACUCGAGUGCAUGAAGCUGGAAUUACUAGUAAUCGUGGAUCAGCGUGCCACGGUGAAUGCGUUCCCGGGUCUUGUACACACCGCCCGUCACACCAUGGGAGUUGGUUCUACCUUAAGGCAAGGUUUAAAACCCUUGACCACGGUAUAGUCAGCGACUGGGGUGAAGUCGUAACAAGGUAGCCGUAGGGGAACCUGCGGCUGGAUUACCUCCUUUCU